rnacentral:rRNA from 1 species
AUGGGAACGCGAAGAACCUUACCUACUCUUGACAUCCAGAGAACUUUCCAGAGAUGGAUUGGUGCCUUCGGGAACGUCUGAGACAGGUGCUGCAUGGCUGUCGUCAGCUCGUGUUGUGAAUGUUGGUUAAGUCCCGCAACGAGCGCAACCCGUUAUCCUUUGUUGCCAGCGGUUCGGCCGGGAACUCAAAGGAGACUGCCAGUGAUAAACUGGAGGAAGGUGGGGAUGACGUCAAGUCAUCAUGGCCCUUACGAGUAGGGCUACACACGUGCUACAAUGGCGCAUACAAAGAGAAGCGACCUCGCGAGAGCAAGCGGACCUCAUAAAGUGCGUCGUAGUCCGGAUUGGAGUCUGCAACUCGACUCCAUGAAGUCGGAAUCGCUAGUAAUCGUAGAUCAGAAUGCUACGGUGAAUACGUU